rnacentral:rRNA from 1 species
CAAUGCCGCGUGAAUGAUGAAGGCCUUAGGGUUGUAAAGUUCUUUCGUCGGGGGACGAUGAUGACGGGUACCCGAAGAAGAAGCCCCCGGCUAACUUCGUGC